rnacentral:lncRNA from 1 species
CCAUGGGUACCAAAUGAAAUUUAGUGAAGCGAGAUGCGAUAUAUCUAAAUUUGCUCAAACGAUGGCGACUUUCGCAAGUUGGCGACACUUACGUCAGCGUUCACUUGCGUAUUGCGCUGUGACGUCAGAAGCGGAACUCGAGCGUCAGAGAGGGAAAUUAUGAGAAAACAUGCAAAUUGUUUCCUGGAACUUGCGUCAAGACGGAUGAUUCUUGAAUAAAGAAAUCGUUUGUGGCAGGAACUCUACUAUCGUCAUAGAUAUAGAAUGAAAGACAAGCAAGCAAACCAGCGAACUAAAUCUAUUUUUAAUCAAAGGGACAAGUUGAAAAAAAAUCAAACAUCUUUUUAAAUGGAAGGUGCAUUACCAGGUGCAAGCGGUUUAAAGUUAUUUUGUAAUAAAAAGUCCAUAAAACACAGGGAGAAGAAGUCCUCCAUGAAGCUUUCCUAAGCACCUGCACAGGUCUCGAGAAUCCAAAGACUCAAUGCGACCGUGAAAUUCGAAGAGUUUAUUCUUCAAGAAUGUUGCGACGCGCGACGGAAUGGAGCUGUGAAUAAUUCAGCGGUCGCGACGACGGCGAUUCGACGAAUCGACGCUGACGGUGACGAUCUACAAACAUGUGCCGGAGUCAAAGGACAAAGAUUGCGCCGCACGCGCGAUCGGCUGGGGGAUGCCAUACAGUUUGCGCUAAUGAACCAGCAAGCCUUUGUGCUGUUUUUAUUCUCUUACGUCAUCAAAUCCAGCAGCGACGGCGAUGGUGGCGGCGGCGGCGCGACCUGGCCGCGUUCUCGUACAGCACGUAGGACGGCUUGCGAGGCGCAGCGAAAGACCGACCUCUCGCGGGCCAUUCUGGAAGCAGAGAAGCGCAGAACACGUGGUUUUCCGUAGGCAGCAAGCAGAUGAGCGUAGAACAUGUGGUUUUGUAUUAUUGCGGUCCGUACCAUCGCACGUACUUCUUUUCUACAUUAUUCAUAUUAAGGGAUCCGUCAGAGUUAGUUUCGGUUCAAGCCACUUUCCAGGAUUACGACUGCAUUUCGAAGGAAAGGAAGAUUUAUCAUGCAUCAAAAUUGAGGAAACACUAAAGAGCCCGUCGUAUGGAAGAUCUUCUCGAACACACACACACAUAAUGAGCACUUUUCUAAAUUCACCUUC